GAUGAACGCUGGCGGCGUGCCUAAUACACGCAAGUCGAGCGAACGGACGAGAAGCUUGCUUCUCUGAUGUUAGCGGCGGACGGGUGAGUAACACGUGGAUAACCUACCUAUAAGACUGGGAUAACUUCGGGAAACCGGAGCUAAUACCGGAUAAUAUUUUGAACCGCAUGGUUCAAAAGUAAAAGACGGUCUUGCUGUCACUUAUAGAUGGAUCCGCGCUGCAUUAGCUAGUUGGUAAGGUAACGGCUUACCAAGGCAACGAUGCAUAGCCGACCUGAGAGGGUGAUCGGCCACACUGGAACUGAGACACGGUCCAGACUCCUACGGGAGGCAGCAGUAGGGAAUCUUCCGCAAUGGGCGAAAGCCUGACGGAGCAACGCCGCGUGAGUGAUGAAGGUCUUCGGAUCGUAAAACUCUGUUAUUAGGGAAGAACAUAUGUGUAAGUAACUGUGCACAUCUUGACGGUACCUAAUCAGAAAGCCACGGCUAACUACGUGCCAGCAGCCGCGGUAAUACGUAGGUGGCAAGCGUUAUCCGGAAUUAUUGGGCGUAAAGCGCGCGUAGGCGGUUUUUUAAGUCUGAUGUGAAAGCCCACGGCUCAACCGUGGAGGGUCAUUGGAAACUGGAAAACUUGAGUGCAGAAGAGGAAAGUGGAAUUCCAUGUGUAGCGGUGAAAUGCGCAGAGAUAUGGAGGAACACCAGUGGCGAAGGCGACUUUCUGGUCUGUAACUGACGCUGAUGUGCGAAAGCGUGGGGAUCAAACAGG
rnacentral:rRNA from 1 species